rnacentral:lncRNA from 1 species
CUCAGGAAUAGCUCCAGCCGCUUCCUUGAUCUGCGUGCAAUUAGUUCUCCCUUGCUAGCCCGCUGAUCUACUCUAGCAGCGCUUUCCUGUUCCACGUGGUACACCAACUGUGGCAAAUCCAGCCCCGGUUCUCAAUUUCUUUCUGAGCGUUCUUUUAAGUCUAGCAUUCCCCCACCCGUGGCCCUCAGGUUGACGCGAGCAGCACGAGUCCCACUUGAAGGUGGCGUCUUCUGAAAAGACGUGAAUGUCAACAAGGCCUAGGGCAACACAAAAGCUUUUAUGACCUACACACAGCGGUUAAACUGUCAAUGAAAGAGAAGAAAAGAAAAUCAGUGCCCACUCAGAGGGAAACAGCCAUGGGAACUUUGACUUCUGGACUGAGCUGAAGAUUGUGUAAAAUGUGGAACACAAAGUUAGGAUACAAAAUGUAUUAAAAAUAGAUGUUAUGAAUCAGCAAUAAAGUUUACC